GACGAACGCUGGCGGCGUGCUUAACACAUGCAAGUCGAACGGAAAGGCCCUGCUUUUGUGGGGUGCUCGAGUGGCGAACGGGUGAGUAAAACGUGAGUAACCUGCCCUUGACUUUGUGAUAACUUCAGGAAACUGGGGCUAAUACCGGAGAGGAGCUCCUGCUGCAUGGGGGGGGUUGGAAAGUGUCGGCGGUGGGGGAUGGACUCGCGGCUUAUCAGCUUGUUGGUGGGGUAGUGGCUUACCAAGGCUUUGACGGGUAGCCGGCAUGAGAGGGUGAACGGGGACAUUGGGCCUGAGAUACGGACCAGACUGCUACGGGCGGCAGCAGGGGGGAACAUUGCACAAUGGGCGGAAGCGUGAUACAGCAAUGCCGCGUGCGGGAUGCCGGCCUUCGGGUUGUAAACCGAUUUCGCCUGUGAUGAAGCGUGAGUGACGGUAAUGGGUAAAGAAGCAACGGCUAACUACGUG
rnacentral:rRNA from 1 species